rnacentral:lncRNA from 1 species
CCUCACUUGCACAAAAUGUUGAAUCCCUUAAAAAGGAUAAGGAAGAAUUAGUUAAAGAAAAUUUGGAUCUUAAGAAUGAGGUACAUAAGUACAAACCAAUUGUUGAAAAAUUUACACAUAGCUCUGAAAAGUUAAAUCUUAUUCUAUCCAAUUAAAGAGCUGUUUUUAAUAAAGCCGGAUUAGGAUACAAAACUAGCAAACAACAAAAAUAUCUAAAGAAUUUUUUUGUGAAAGCAAAAGAUAUCAAAAACUGAAAAAACCUACAUGCUUUCAUUGUGGGAAAAGUGGACAUAAAGCCUAUUCAUGCAUUCAAAGAAAGAUUCAAUCUAACAAGAAUACAUUUGUAAAAGGUAAAAACACAACUAAAGUGUGGGUGCCU